UCCUUGGUGGUCCAGUGGUUAGGAUGUCUGGUUUUCACCCAGUCGGCCCGGGUUCGAUUCCCGGCCAGGGAA
rfam:Anncaliia algerae PRA339 unplaced genomic scaffold supercont2.62, whole genome shotgun sequence.